GGGGUUGUAGCUCAGUGGCAGAGUGCUUGCCUAGCAUGUGUGAGGCCCUGGGUUCGAUUCUCAGCAUCGCAU
rfam:Ictidomys tridecemlineatus contig031198, whole genome shotgun sequence.